GACGAACGCUGGCGGCGUGCUUAACACAUGCAAGUCGAACGGAAAGGCCCUGCUUUUGUGGGGUGCUCGAGUGGCGAACGGGUGAGUAACACGUGAGUAACCUGCCCUUGACUUUGGGAUAACUUCAGGAAACUGGGGCUAAUACCGGAUAGGAGCUCCUGCUGCAUGGUGGGGGUUGGAAAGUUUCGGCGGUUGGGGAUGGACUCGCGGCUUAUCAGCUUGUUGGUGGGGUAGUGGCUUACCAAGGCUUUGACGGGUAGCCGGCCUGAGAGGGUGACCGGACACAUGGGGACUGAGAUACGGCACAGAAUCCAACGGGAGGCAGCAGUGGGGAAUAUUGCACAAUGGGCGGAAGCCUGAUGCAGCAACGCCGCGUGCGGGAUGACGGCCUUCGGGUUGUAAACCGCUUUCGACUGUGACGAAGCGUGAGUGACGGUAAUGGGUAAAGAAGCACCGGCUAACUACGUG
rnacentral:rRNA from 1 species